rnacentral:rRNA from 1 species
GAUGAACGCUAGCGGAGGCUUAACACAUGCAAGUCGAGGGGCAGCAUAGGGUAGCAAUACUCUGAUGGCGACCGGCAAACGGGUGAGUAACGCGUAUGCAACCUACCCUGUACAGGGGGAUAACCCGGAGAAAUUCGGACUAAUAUCCCGUAAUAAUAUCCGGAGGCAUCUUUGGAUAUUUAAAGUUUCGACGGUACGGGAUGGGCAUGCGUAACAUUAGCUGGUUGGUAAGGUAACGGCUUACCAAGGCUAUGAUGUUUAGGGGUCCUGAGAGGGUGGUCCCCCACACUGGUACUGAGACACGGACCAGACUCCUACGGGAGGCAGCAGUGAGGAAUAUUGGUCAAUGGGCGCAAGCCUGAACCAGCCAUCCCGCGUGCAGGAAGACGGCCCUAUGGGUUGUAAACUGCUUUUCCAGGGAGAGAAACUUACGCACGUGUCGCGUGACUGACGGUACCCUGGGAAUAAGCAUCGGCUAACUCCGUGCCAGCAGCCGCGGUAAAGUCACGUCG